rnacentral:rRNA from 1 species
UGGGGAAUCUUCCGCAAUGGGCGCAAGCCUGACGGAGCAACGCCGCGUGGGGGACGAAGGCCUUCGGGUUGUAAACCCCUGUCAGCGGGAAAGAAGGCUCUUGAGGUGAACAAUCUCGGGGGCUGACGGUACUCGCAGAGGAAGCCACGGCCAACUCCGUGCCAGCAGCCGCGGUAAUACGGAGGUGGCGAGCGUUGUUCGGAAUCACUGGGCGUAAAGGGCGCGUAGGCGGGCGGAGAAGUCGCGUGUGAAAGCCCCGGGCUCAACCCGGGAACGGCGCGCGAGACUCUCCGUCUUGAGUUCCGGAGAGGCGGGUGGAAUUCCUGGUGUAGCGGUGAAAUGUGUAGAGAUCAGGAGGAACACCGGUGGCGCAGGCGGCCCGCUGGACGGUGACUGACGCUGAGGCGCGAAAGCGUGGGGAGCAAACGG